UUGAGUUUGUUUUUCCUCCACGACAGUAACAAUGAAAAAUAAAAUAAAAUAAAAAACAUCACACGUAUAGAAAACUGAAGACACGAUAAAUAACUACUCUUCAUUUACAUCUCGCGUACUCCGCUUCUCUCUCAAAAAUCCCCUUGAGCACAAAAAACUGCAACUAAAAGUAUUUUUAUUUGGCACUACUCAACAUUUAUUCAUCUUCCAAAGGCACGAGUUAGAGAUUUCCAUGGAGAUUGAAUAAACUCUCUUUUCACCCCUCCCGUAGAAAACCUCAAUGGGAUCUUCCAAGCUUCCAUAUUUCAAAAAUUAGGGUUCAUGUGAUUUGAAAUGUUGUAAAUAGAACACACACACAGACGCAUAGAGGAGUAAAAUCGAUGAAUUUGAGGUGCAAAAGAUGUUCACUGCACAUACGAGAUCAAUGACGCAGGAUAGUUGCCCAUACGGUUUCAUCAUUGGAAUCUGAUUUGUCAAAGACCAAGCAAAGAAGUUGGAUUCAUAGUUACAACCUUCAAGAGACUGAAGGAAGAGUGCCUUCUUUUUUAGUAUGUAUGCUGUUUAAUUAUGUAUGCAGAAUUAGAUUUUGAUUCUUGCAAGUGAUAUUGAUUCUACGGUUCAUGAGCGACUAGACGUUGUUUUUAUGCCCCACGAUUUAGCUAGGAGACACUUUGGGAAUUGAUACUCAUAAUUUUGUCGAUUAUCUAAAUUUGGUUGUGAAAAUUCUAGAUACGUUUAUUUUUACCUUGCUUGCAAUUCUAAUUUUAUAGUGACCUGUUUGUGAACUUAUUUUGAUUUCAAAAUUACAAAUUGUUGUAGGGAGCGGAAAUACCCAAAGAACCUGGACUGAAAUAAAUCACAACACACGAGUAGAUAACUCUUGGAGGGGAUGGUAUGUAACAGAAAUUAUACUCUAUCUGUAUCUGAGCUGUUUUUUGGAUAUUUAGUUUUUGUAAUUCUUCAAUUUGUGCAAUAACCAAGUAAAUUCUUAGAAUACACUUUGAGUUCGACUAUUCUAAAGUUUAUCAUAAUACGAAAUCACUCCUCUCGGGGACCCAUAAGAGCAAUCUCCACAAGAAUGCGCGCAGAAGAGUUGUGGCGGAAUAUGCUACAUUGCUAGUGGUAGUCACUCAAUAUUCAUAAUGCGUUUCCUGAGUUAGUUUCUUUGGUUCACUCAUUUUUAUUGUGUCUAUUCUCCCCGAUUUGCUGUUCUUAUAUAAUUUUGAGAUUUUUCUCUUACUUGCAGUAUGUCCAUUGACAAAUUUGGGUGUAGAACUAAAUUCACAGCUCAUCAUUUAUGCUAUGAUGAAUUUCUCCAAGGUGUAUUCCAAAUAGAUUAAUGGUUUAUCUAAUAUAAGAAAUCGGAGGGAAGGACACGUUUAUUGAACUUUCUAGGAGCUAAGGACAGGUUUGCAGCAGCAAGUAGUGCAAGAAGUCCUCCUCUCCAUGCUUCCUCCUGGUGCGCCUCCUCAAGCAUUGCCUCUUUUUCGUAUUUUUUUUUCCUGGAUUUUUAUAGACCUUGAAUUUGUUUAGAUGGAAACAUUAUUUAUACUAUGAUAUACUGAGCGUAAUUCGUAUCAAAAUUAUUUAAGUAUUUAAUAACACGAAUAUCGAAUGUUCCUGUAUUAUCUUUAUCGCGCGUGUAGAUUGUAUAUAAUGUAAAAUGAAUUGCUCGAAAGUUGUUUUGAU